rnacentral:rRNA from 1 species
UCCUACGCGUUAUUUGCGAAAUUAAUGGGGCCUAAAAUCCCACCGCCGGGUGGGUUGGUUAAAGUCCAGAUUUGAAAUUCCCCGGAGACUUAACUUGGGGAAAUGCAUUUGAAAAGUGGCAAGUUAAGAGUCUUGUUGAGGGAGGGUAGAAUUUCCAGGUGUAGACGGUGAAAAUGCGUAGAGAUCUGGAGGAAUACCCGUCGCGAAUGUCGGCUCCCUGGAUGAAGACUGACGUUCAGGUGCGAAAGCGUGGUGAGCAAACAGGGGUUAGAUAUCCCUGGUAGUGCACUCCGUAAAAGAUGUAGACAUUGCGGUUGUGCCCCUGGAGUUUGGCUUCCCUAGAUGACACUUUAAAUUGACCGCCUCAAGAGCACUUCCGCAAGGUUAAUACUGGAAUUAAUUGACGGCGGCCCGCACCACCGGUGGAGCAUGUGGUCUCAUUAGAUGCAACUCGAAGAACCUUCCUUCCUCUUGACGUCCCGGGAAGAAUUUGGCAGAGAUGCUGUUCCUUCUUGGGAAAUUGUGACACGAGGUACCGCAUGAAUGUCGUCACCUUGUUUUGUGAAAAAUUGGGUUAAGUCCCGCAACGAGCGCACCCCUUAUCCUUUGUUGCCAGCGGUUCGGCCGGGAACUCAAAGGAGACUCCCAGUGAUAAACUGGAGGAAGGUGGGGAUGACGUCAAGUCAUCAUGGCCCUUACGAGUAGGGCUACACACGUGCUACAAUGGCGUAUACAAAGAGAAGCGAACCUGCGAGGGCAAGCGGACCUCAUAAAGUACGUCGUAGUCCGGAUUGGAGUCUGCAACUCGACUCCAUGAAGUCGGAAUCGCUAGUAAUCGUAGAUCAGAAUGCUACGGUGAAUACGUUCCCGGGCCUUGUACACACCGCCCGUCACACCAUGGGAGUGGGUUGCAAAAGAAGUAGGUAGCUUAACCUUCGGGAGGGCGCUU